GGCAUCAAAGAAAUAAAUUUCUGAACGCUGCAUGCAAUCGCCGAGAACGAGAAACAUCCAACCUACGUCAAAUCGUCGCUUUGAUCCCAUAACAUAGCUAAAUCCACCACCAAUGGCUAAGAGAUCCGUUUCGAUCCUCACCCGCCUCCUAACGAAUCCAUCUUCUCCAUUCACCGCACCCACCCGAUCCAUCACCUACAUGCCCCGUCCCGGCGACGGAGCCCCACGCACCGUAACCCUCAUUCCCGGCGACGGGAUCGGACCUUUAGUGACCGGUGCGGUGGAACAGGUCUUCGAAGCGAUGCACGCGCCGGUGCAUUUCGAGAGGUACGAGGUUCGUGGACACAUGAGGAAAGUCCCCGAGGAAGUGAUGGAAUCCGUGAAGAGGAACAAGGUUUGUCUGAAAGGUGGGUUGGCGACUCCCGUUGGCGGAGGUGUCAGCUCAUUGAACAUGCAGUUGAGGAAAGAGCUCGACAUCUUCGCUUCUCUCGUCAACUGCAUCAACGUCCCUGGGUUAGUGACGAGGCACGAGAACGUGGAUAUCGUUGUGAUUAGGGAGAACACGGAAGGAGAGUACGCGGGUCUCGAGCACGAGGUUGUUCCUGGUGUUGUUGAAAGUCUUAAGGUGAUAACUAAGUAUUGUUCUGAGAGGAUAGCGAGGUACGCAUUUGAGUAUGCGUACCUGAACAACAGGAAGAAAGUGACUGCUGUUCAUAAAGCCAACAUUAUGAAGCUAGCGGAUGGGCUCUUCCUUGAAUCUUGCAGAGAGGUUGCUAAAGCUUAUCCUGGGAUUACAUACAACGAAAUAAUUGUAGACAACUGUUGUAUGCAGCUUGUGGCUAAGCCUGAGCAGUUUGAUGUCAUGGUGACGCCUAAUUUGUAUGGUAAUCUUAUUGCAAACACUGCUGCUGGAAUAGCUGGUGGGACUGGUGUGAUGCCAGGAGGCAAUGUUGGUGCGGAACAUGCGAUAUUCGAGCAAGGAGCAUCAGCAGGGAAUGUUGGGAAUGAUAAAAUAGUGGAGCAGAAGAAAGCGAACCCGAUGGCUCUACUUCUCUCGUCGGCUAUGAUGCUUAAACAUCUCCAGUUUCCUACGUUCGCUGAUCGUCUUGAAAUUGCAGUGAAACAAGUCAUACAAGAAGGCAAAUGGCGAACCAAGGAUCUCGGUGGAGAUUGCACUACUCAGGAAGUUGUUGAUGCUGUCAUAAAAGCUCUUGACUGAGCUUCUACUUGCUUCGUGCUUGGUGCUUCUCUGUUUUGCGUUUGCUAUUUGUUUUUUCUUGAUUGUUUUUAUUCAUGCAUUUACUUCAUUCGACAAUGUUCGAUCUCUUGUUAAAGCACGAGCUUAUAAUAGUUAUAUAAUAAAUUCAAUAAAGAGAAAUACUCUCUGACGCGCUUACCAAGACACUCGUGCUCCGACGCCGGUAGAGCGGGAGCUCGCCGGCGUCGCCUCCGUCCCAUCUUCUUCUUCAUAGUUUCUCUUGCUCCAAGUCAAAGCUCUCGUUCUGUCACUUAUUUCGCCAUUACUCAAUCAUUUAUUCUAGAUCUGGGGAUAACAAAACUGGAGAAGACCUUUGUGGUCUCUGCUCGGGUUUUGGAGACCACCGGACCUGCAUCCUUCACCGGGGACUCCUGGAAUUGCGGUACAAAUACCACCUCUCCCUGCCUCGACCCACAAAAGGGAUGGCUCUCUAUCUGCAACAGAUUUGCAACUCGCUACGCUUGCACAAAUGACGCCUCACAUCACCUCUUUCCCUUCUCUGAGUUCAACUUUCAGCUGCGCUCCAGAUCUGAGAGGACCUCCAUGGGUUUCUCCGGAUCUGAGCUACUCUCAGAUAAAGCUCAAAGCUCAGACAUAAAGAACACCUCAAGCCACCGUAGUUCAUCAACUUCACGUUACAAACGGGAUUCCGUGGGUGGCUGCUCAAUCCCUAACCUUCAGAUCUUCACGGUCUCCUCUCCUCCAUCUUGCGCCACCGUCCUUCACCCCGCCAAUGAGGUGUGCCCUAAUUCCGCCGCACGCACGCUGCUCGUCAAGUUCAGAUCCGUUGAGGGUAAUGCUGACAUCAGCCCUUCCAUUUUCUCUAUAUGGGCCAGACCCAUACCAAUUGCAAAAGUGGAUUCACCAAUACCAUCAUCUAAGACUUUCUCCAUGAGAAGUGUCAUCUCUCCUGCUAUAAAGCAGAUGAAGUUGUCAAAAUCUCUAACCGUUUUGUUAUCUUGUGGAGCGGUCCGUACGGGGCCUGAAGAUGCAACGGAUUUCGUUUCGACGAUAUUUCGAGGUGUAGAUUGGCUAUCAACGUCACGAUUUAAUGUGACUAAGUUUCAACUUUCCGGCUUUGCCGUGAACUUUAUUUCGACGCAUUCGAGCCUUACUCAGAAUUCGCUGUCAAUUUAUCCUAAAGGUUUCUCUACUAUUAUCA